rnacentral:tRNA from 2 species
GGCCGGAUGGCAGAGUGGUUAUGCAGCGGAUUGCAAAUCCGUGUACGCCGGUUCGAUUCCGACUCCGGCCUCCA